UAGGAGACCGACAGCUCGAGUUCUGGGUCAUAUUAAAACUGCACUUGAGCAUGGCAAUAACGUGUUCGUCUCCUUAUUCACAGCUUAGUGCGUGAUUUGGCUUGUGCCGGCGCAGAUUCCCCUACGUCUGGAGCCGGUAACAUUUUUAACAAAUAAAAUAUCAAUAUUUCCAUUCCGAACUGCUUUCCAAGUCAAAAUGUCCACGAACUUAACCAGGUUAUUUCUGCGUUUUCUACAUUCAGCUCAUCUGUCACCACUGGUGCUGCAGACUCUGAUCUGGGAUGGAGAUCUGAAGGGGACAAUUACAGCUGUUGACUAGCAGGCAGCCAGGUGCAGAGAGGGGUAAUGAGUCUGAUCACGUAACGCCGAGCUCACUGCAAAACUGAAGAUCAUCACCAUUUUCAUCUUUAUAUCAGCAGUCUAUGAAAAAAGCAAUUACAGCAAUCAUGAAGUGUGGGCAUGUUGGGUUCUGUCCCAGGACAUCUCGUUACAGCACACAGACACUGUGCUGAUGUGAUCCAGCGAGAGGAGUGUGAGGAUGAGGAGGCAGACCUUCCUCUGUACGAACACUGAUUCAAUGCAAUAAGCUUUUGACAAAUUCCUUUUAAACAAACUUUACAAUAACACAAUUCCUUUAACCAUG